rnacentral:lncRNA from 10 species
GCUUUGUUUACCUAAUCAAGCCUGGGCAAUGGCGGGCGCCCCUCCCCCCGCCUCGCUGCCGCCUUGCAGUUUGAUCUCAGACUGCUGUGCUAGCAAUCAGCGAGAUUCCGUGGGCGUAGGACCCUCCGAGCCAGUUCCCGAGAGAUCCCAUGAUCCAGAGACAAAGGUGGCAGCUUUGGAGCAAGUGGAGAGCCAGAAAAGGAUCCAGAACUGGAGUGGAAGAACAGCUGCUCUCUAGCCUACUUCAUUGACAGCACCAGCCAAGUGAAUAGGUCAGAGAAGAGAGAGACAGAGUCUCGCUAUGUUGCCCAGGCUUGUCUUGAACUCCUGCCUUCAAGCAAUCCUCCCACCUCAGCCUCUCAAAGUGCUGGCAUUACAGCUGAAGCUAUGCCAUCUUUUAUGUCUGAUGAGGCAGUUUCAUCUGAUUUGAAGAUGAUGAAGAAAAGUUCUUUGCAAGGUUGCUUAUUGAAUAUUACUGGGAAAACAGGAAAAUUAGGAGGAAUGUUCUGGAGUGAUUUAUCUUUUUCAUCA